rnacentral:rRNA from 1 species
AAGGAUCAUUAUUGAGAUGUAACGGCGCCCUGUUAGUUGUUGCAAUGUAGAGUCAGUGCUGGCUUCUAAAGUAUGUGCACGCUUUACUUGUAGCUCUAACUUGGUGAUAACCGUUUCUUAUCCAUCCACCUGUGCACUUUUUGUAGGAGUUUUUAUUAGGUUGGCUUUCAAGUCGAAAGACUUUGUUAGUUGGCAUAAUAGGACUUCUAUGUCUUUACAAACCAUUGAAGUAUGUCUAGAAUGUCAUUUUACUGGGACUUCAUUGACCCUUUAAACUUUAUACAACUUUCAGCAACGGAUCUCUUGGCUCUCCCAUCGAUGAAGAACGCAGCGAAAUGCGAUAAGUAAUGUGAAUUGCAGAAUUCAGUGAAUCAUCGAAUCUUUGAACGCACCUUGCGCCCUCUGGUAUUCCGGAGGGCAUGCCUGUUUGAGUGUCAUUAAAUUCUCAACUUCAAAAGUUUUUAUUAACUUAUUGAAGCUUGGAUGUGGGGGUUUGUUGGCGUCUUUAGAUGUUCAGCUCCCCUUAAAUGCAUUAGUGGAAUUCCCGUUUGGUUGGUCCAUCUUGGUGUGAUAAUUAUCUACGCUUUGCUUGGUUCAACUGUGUCAGGUGUGCUUAGGCUAGAUCCUGGUUGUGAUAUUGCAUUAAGUUGCUUUAUCUGAUUGUGGGAAAUUUAUCUGCUUUCUAACCGUCUGUUAUUUCAGACAAUUUAUUGACUAUUUGACCUCAAAUCAGGUAGGACUACCCGCUGAACUUAA